rnacentral:rRNA from 1 species
CCUACGGGAGGCAGCAGUGGGGAAUAUUGGACAAUGGGGGCAACCCUGAUCCAGCCAUGCCGCGUGUGUGAAGAAGGCCCUCGGGUUGUAAAGCACUUUCAGUGAGGAAGAACGCCUGGUGGUUAAUACCCAUCAGGAAAGACAUCACUCACAGAAGAAGCACCGGCUAACUCCGUGCCAGCAGCCGCGGUAAUACGGAGGGUGCGAGCGUUAAUCGGAAUUACUGGGCGUAAAGCGCGCGUAGGUGGCUUGAUAAGCCGGUUGUGAAAGCCCCGGGCUCAACCUGGGAACAGCAUCCGGAACUGUCAAGCUAGAGUGCAGGAGAGGAAGGUAGAAUUCCCGGUGUAGCGGUGAAAUGCGUAGAGAUCGGGAGGAAUACCAGUGGCGAAGGCGGCCUUCUGGACUGACACUGACACUGAGGUGCGAAAGCGUGGGUAGCAAACAGGAUUAGAUACCCCUGUAGUC